rnacentral:lncRNA from 1 species
UUUUUUUUUUAUAUAAAUUCCUAAGAAAAGGUAAUAACAAUGAAAAGGGAAAGAUAACAUACUUGAAAAGGGAGGAUUUAAAGAACAAGGUUUUCCCCCCCACACUUAAAUGAAACAUUGUCCCCAAUGUUUCAAAGAAAACAAAAGAAAUACAAAAAGAAAAAGAAACUAAAGUCAAUGUUGCCUUCCGCCGCGUGUUCUU